CACCAGUAACUUAUUUAAAUAUGCCAAGUAGUGCGUACGUAGUAUAAUUUCUAGAAGCCAACAUAUAACUAGCGUAUAAUAUAAAGAUACAGUUAUAGCAAGAAAUCUUCUGUCAAAAUACAAGGCUUUAUAAUGUCAUAUUGCCGUGAUCAAGCAUGCUGCAGAAUAUGAUAGAAUAAACAAAUAAUAAUGAAGAGUUUAUAAUGGAACCUUAAUAUAUACUGUUGCCAGUGACUUUAAUUCCAUAUAUAUACAUUUUUUUUCACUAUUUUCUAUCUGCUGUACGUAAGACUUUAAAGACUUUGAAUGCUGAGGAUAAACUGACACACCCCUUACUCACACAGCAGUAUUCACAGGCUUGAUUUGUUUUUCGCUUUAAGUUGCAUGACGUUUCUGCAGGAAAUAUUAGUUAAUCUCACUCCACGCAUGUAGGGGCUCAGGAAGAAGACUUGUCUCGUCAGCCUGACGUGGCAGACGGCCUCUCUUGCGGUUGACAGCGAGCUAACGCCUCUGUCACGGAGAGAGAGGACCGGGACCUGUCUCCCUUGCUCGUGCCAUCUGAUAAACUUACACUUGUUGCUUCUUUGAGGCUAAUUGCCUUCUUGCUGUGCUGCACUUUUUACGUUUUUCGGUGGAGCUGUCUUCCCAAGACAACGGAGUGUUGGGAGAUGCCAUUAAAUGUCCCCGUGGUGAAGAGUGUGCAGGUCUCUGUGUCGCUGUGUUCGGUGGUACGGGAUGAUGAUGUGAAUAUUUAGAAUGUACCAUAUUUUUUUUUUGUAAAUUAUUUAUGUUUUUUUUUUUAAACAAACUUUUGGUACAGAUGGAUGAAACUUCUUUUGUUUUGCCAAAGACUGUAAAUAUUAAUUUAUUUGUUUCUCAUGGUCAGAUUUUCACCACUGAACCCUGCAUUUAGCUAGAGCCUCAUUUUUAUACUUCAAAGGUUCAUAACAGGAAAUAAAUUGUAAAAAGGUUUUCUAUAAAUCAAUCUCUCUCCCUUUUUUAAAGAGCUAGCAGGGCUCCUGCCGGGGUUCAGUGGACGGACCCCAACAGGACGAGCAGAGCUCUGUG
rnacentral:lncRNA from 1 species